rnacentral:SRP_RNA from 1 species
CCUGUAGUUCCAGCUACUUGGGAGGCUGAGGCAGGAGGAUCUCUUGACUCCAACAGACUUGGGCUGUAGUGUGCUAUGCUAAUUUGGUGUCUGCACUAAGUUCAGCAUCAGUAUGGUGACCUCCUAGGAGCAGGGUAUCACCAGGUUGCCUAAGGAGAAGAAACUGACUCAGGUCAGAAAUGGAGCAGGUCAAAACUCCCAGAAAGAUCAGUACUGGGAUCAUGACUGUGAAUAGCCCUUCACUACCCUGAAAUAAAUGGAUUAAGUAUCUUU